ensembl:lncRNA
CACACGGCUUGAACUAUUGACCUAAACAAUGUUGUCAGGUGAACUUUACAGCCUUGUCUUGUGAACUAAACCACUUUGUCAUAUUUGACUUUAGCUGGUCAACUAAACUGCCUUGAUUAUUUUGAACUAUACUGGUUUGACUGGUGAACUACACUGAUGCCUGAAAGUCAACAUGGUUAGUCCAAAUACUGGUUGAAAAGCAAACUAAACUUCUUUGACUACUGGAACAAUUCGAUUUUAAUUAACUGUUACGCAUCUAUAGGUUACUAAGAGAACGGAAUAAGGAGGAAAAAGAUGUUCAAAUAAUUUGAAACUAUAAAAGCAAGGCUUUUAUUCAGCAUUAUUUUCUUACAAAAAAAGGAGCAUAAAAGGAGCAUACAAAAUAGGAUCUAGAAUAUAUGUGAUCUAUUUUUCUAAUGUGUUAAUCAGUUGUUAGAGUUUUAGUUGGACUACAAAGCCAUUCAAAUACGACGUUUAGCAUUCAGCGGCGGUUACAUAAGGAAUGUUUUAUAUUUCAAUGGCGACCUGAUUUUCUGACAGUGUUUGCUCUGAGUUCCAUGACCCCCUUUGCUGUUUGUCUGUUUGUUUGUCUGUGCAUGUGUUUUUGUGUUCAGGCACUACUUUCCACUGACUUUUCAAUCUGCAUCCAUUCACACCUGUUAGCUUGAUCUUAGAAAAUAACUCCUAAAUCUCUCCUAAACAAUUUAAAUUAAAGAGUGACGUUUCCGGAAUAUUCAAGAAGCAUAUUUUACUUCUUCUUCCUCUGUGAGUGUGUGUUUGUGUGUGUGUGUGUGUGUGUGUGUGUGUGUGUGUGUGUGUGUGUGUGUGUGUGUGUGUGUGUGUGUGUGUGUGUGUGUGUGUGUCUGUGUCUGUGUCUGUGUGUUUAUGUGUGUCUGUGCCAGUGUAAUAUCCAGCAGGGGGUCCUCCCCUAACACAUGACAGUUGAUACGUUUUUCAGGCGAUUGGUAAAAACGUUGACACACACCUGUGGGAUUACCGGUUCAGCCUAGAGUGGAAUGCCCCAUAAUGUCAGACACCAUUUUUAGCUUUCUCUCACAACAAUGCAAAUGUCAAAGCCCUCGCCGAGGCAACCUUGUGAGUCUGACGAGAUAAUGAGACAGCCUGCUCUCUGACCACGCCCCCCUGGGCGCCGUCACCACCAGUACCACCACCAGUACCACCAGCAGUUCCAACACCAGUACCACCACAAGUACCACCACAAGUACCACCAGCAGUUCCACCACCAGUACCACCAAAGGCCCUGCUGGAUAAGAACAAGUGGAUAUGCGAUAUGCUUCGUUUGGCCCCACACACCCCUCUGGAAAUGUCCUCAUCCGCACGUCACGUAGCAGGGAAGUGCUGGGGAGAUCUGGCCUGGAUCAGGGCUGAAUGGAACCCAACUUAGACACAAAAGUCGAACAUUAAGGAUAAAUAGAGG